GUAGUCUUGGCCCUAAACGAUGUUCACUAGGUGUUGGGGGUUUCCCUCGGUGCCGCAGCUAACGCAUUAAGUGAACCGCCUGGGGACUACGGCCGCAAGGUUGAAACUCAAAGGAAUUGGCGGGGGCCCGCACAAGCGGUGGAGCAUGUGGCUUAAUUCGAUGCAACGCGAAGAACCUUACCAGGGCUUGACAUGUAUCUGCAAGCUGCCGAAAAGCAGUCGCUUUCGAAGGUGAUACACAGGUGGUGCAUGGCUGUCGUCAGCUCGUGUUGUGAAAUGUUGGGUUAAGUCCCGCAACGAGCGCAACCCUCAUUGUCUGUUACCAGCGGGUCAAGCCGGGAACUCUGACGAAACUGCCUCUGUAAAGAGGA
rnacentral:rRNA from 1 species